AACGAACGCUGGCGGCGGGCCUAAAACAUGCAAGUCGAACGAACCUUCGGGUUAGUGGCGCACGGGUGCGUAACGCGUGGGAAUGUGCCUCUGGAUGCGGAACAACGUCGGGAAACUGACGCUAAUACCGCAUAAUAUCUACGGAUCAAAGGUUUAUCGCCCAGAGAUCAGCCCGCGUCUGAUUAGGUAGUUGGUAGGGUAAUGGCCUACCAAGCCUACGAUCAGUAGCUGGUCUGAGAGGAUGAUCAGCCACACUGGAACUGAGACACGGUCCAGACUCCUACGGGAGGCAGCAGUUAGGAAUAUUGGACAGUGGGGGAAACCCUGAUCCAGCCAUGCCGCGUGUGUGAAGAAGGCCUUAGGGUUGUAAAGCACUUUCGUCUAUGAAGAUAAUGACAGUAGUAGAAGAAGAAGCUCCGGCUAAAUUCGUGCCAGCCGCCGCAGUAA
rnacentral:rRNA from 1 species